rnacentral:rRNA from 1 species
GAUGAACGCUGGCGGCGUGCCUAAUACAUGCGAGUCGAGCGAACAGAUAAGGAGCUUGCUCCUUUGACGUUAGCGGCGGACGGGUGAGUAACACGUGGAUAACCUACCUAUAAGACUGGGAUAACUUCGGGAAACCGGAGCUAAUACCGGAUAACAUAUUGAACCGCAUGGUUCAAUAGUGAAAGGCGGCUUUGCUGCCACUUAUAGAUGGAUCCGCGCCGUAUUAGCUAGUUGGUAAGGUAACGGCUUACCAAGGCAACGAUACGUAGCCGACCUGAGAGGGUGAUCGGCCACACUGGAACUGGGACACGGUCCAGACUCCUACGGGAGGCAGCAGUAGGGAAUCUUCCGCAAUGGGCGAAAGCCUGACGGAGCAACGCCGCGUGAGUGAUGAAGGUCUUCGGAUCGUAAAACUCUGUUAUCAGGGAAGAACAAAUGUGUAAGUAACUGUGCACAUCUUGACGGUACCUGAUCAGAAAGCCACGGCUAACUACGUG